GGUUCGAUCAUGGCUCAGAUUGAACGCUGGCGGGAUGCUUUCACAUGCAAGUCGAACGGCAGCACGGACUUCGGUCUGGUGGCGAGUGGCGAACGGGUGAGUAAUGUAUCGGAACGUGCCUAGUAGCGGGGAUAACUACGCCAGAAAGCGUAGCUAAUACCGCAUACGCCCUUCGGGAAAGCGGGGGACCUUCGGGCCUCGCACUAUUAGAGCGGCCGAUAUUGGAUUAGCUAGUUGGUGGGGUAACGGCUCACCAAGGCGACGAUCCGUAGCUGGUUUGAGAGGACGACCAGCCACACUGGGACUGAGACACGGCCCAGACUCCUACGGGAGGCAGCAGUGGGGAAUUUUGACAAUGGGAAACUCCUGAUCCAGCCAUCCCGCGUGUGCGAUGAAGGCCUUCUUCGGGUUGUAAAGCACUUUGGCAGGAAGAAACGCACGGGAUAAUACCCCGUGCAACUGACGGUACCUGCAGAAUAAGCACCGGCUAACUACGCCAGCAGCCGCGGUAAUACGCAGGGUGCAAGCGUUAAUCGGAAUUACUGGGCGUAAAGCGUGCGCAGGCGGUUCGAAAAGAAAGAUGUGAAAUCCCAGAGCUUAACUUUUGAACUGCAUUUUUAACUACCGAGCUAGAGUGUGUCAGAGUGAGGUGGAAUUCCGCGUGUAGCAGUGAAAUGCGUAGAUACAGUGGAGGAAACACCGAUGGCGAAGGCAGCCUCCUGGGAUAACACUGACGCUCAUGCACGAAAGCGUGGGAGCAAACAGGAUUAGAUACCCUGGUAGUCCAGCGUCAAACGAUGUCAACUAGCCGUUGGGGCCUUCGGGCUCCUGGUAGCGCAGCUAACGCGUGAAGUUGACCGCCUGGGGAGUACGGUCGCAAGAUUAAAACCAAAGGAAUUGACGGGGACCCGCACAAGCGGUGGAUGAUGUGGAUUAAUUCGAUGCAACGCGAAAAACCUUACCUACCCUUGACAUGUCUGGAAUCCCGAAGAGAUUUGGGAGUGCUCGCAAGAGAACCGGAACACAGAUGCUGCAUGGCUGUCGUCAGCUUUCGUGUCGUGAGAUGUUGGGUUAAGUCCUGCAACGAGCGCAACCCUUGUCAUUAGUUGCUACGAAAGGGCACUCUAAUGAGACUGCCGGUGACAAACCGGAGGAAGGUGGGGAUGGACGUCAAGUCCUCAUGGCCCCUUAUGGGUAGUCACACGUCAUACAAUGGUCGGGACAGAGGGUCGCCAACCCGCGAGGGGGAGCCAAUCCCAGAAACCCGAUCGUAGUCCGGAUCGGGUAGUCUGCAACUCGACUGCGUGAAGUCGGAAUCGCUAGUAAUCGCGGAUCAGCAUGUCGCGGUGAAUACGUUCCUGGUCUUGUACACACCGCCCGUCACACCAUGGGAGGGGUUUUACCAGAAGUAGUUAGCCCAACCGUAAGGAGGGCGAUUACCACGGUAGGAUUCAUGACUGGGGUGAAGUCGUAACAAGGUAG
rnacentral:rRNA from 1 species